GUAAUGGAAUAAAGGACGCAUGG
rnacentral:piRNA from 1 species